GAGGACUCUCAACUAAAACCCCCGGCGCCCAAGAAACGCUCGGCGCCUAAGAAACGCCCGACGCCCAAGAAAAAUCAGGCGCGCGAGGAACAGAAUGUUUUAUGAAGUGAGUGCAGCAGUCAUGUGAGACACGUUUCGGUAAUAACGAGCUUUGGAUGGAAUGUGAAAAUAUUUGUGAACCGUCCUGUACAAAAAACGCCAAUCGUAGAUGCCCUCUGAUAUGUGCCUCUGGAUGCAAGUGCAAACCAGGAUUUUUAAGAAGAAAAGACGGGGCCUGUGUCACAGAAGAAAAUUGCACGGUGUAAUUGAUUUCAUAAACAUGAGACAUUUGAAAAUGAA